rnacentral:rRNA from 1 species
GAUGAACGCUGGCGGCGUGCCUAAUACAUGCAAGUCGAGCGAAGCGGGGACGGGUGCGUAACACGUGGAUAACCUCCUAUAAGACUGGGAUAACGUCGGGAAACCGGAGCUAAACCGGAUACUAAUAGAUGGAUCUGCGCUGCAUUAGCUAUGUGAUAAGGUAACGGCUUACAAAGGCAACAAUGCAUAGCCGACCUGGGAGGGGGCUCGGCCACACUGGAACUGAGACUCGGUCCAGACUCCUGCGGGAGGCAGCAGUAGGGAAUCUUCCGCAAUGGGCGAAAGCCUGACGGAGCAACGCCGCGUGAGUGAUGAAGGUCUGCGGAUCGUAAAACUCUGUUAUUAGGGAAGCGGUACCUAAUCAGAAAGCCACGGCUAACUACGUGCCAGCAGACGCGGUAAUAC